rnacentral:rRNA from 1 species
UACGUAGGGGGCAAGCGUUGUCCGGAAUCAUUGGGCGUAAAGAGCGUGUAGGCGGCCCGGUAAGUCCGCUGUGAAAGUCGGGGGCUCAACCCUCGAAUGCCGGUGGAUACUGUCGGGCUAGAGUGCGGAAGAGGCGAGUGGAAUUCCUGGUGUAGCGGUGAAAUGCGCAGAUAUCAGGAGGAACACCAAUUGCGAAGGCAGCUCGCUGGGACGUUACUGACGCUGAGACGCGAAAGCGUGGGGAGCAAACAGG